CCGUUGCUUAUAUAAACAUGUAGUCAUGCCAUGAGAAAACACAUCAACUCUACCUAGAGGAAAGGAAUACAAGCUACACUUAUCAAUGAAGAACUCACUUGUCCUAGCUUUCUUCGCACUUUGUUUGCUCAUGAUCUCCAAAACAGUAGUGGUAAGUAGGCAACUUGAGGAUAAACCACUACCAUUCUCUCUUCAAGCAACCGAGAAAUGGAAUAAAUACAUUAACAACGAUGUGUUUGUCUCUAGUUCCAAUGUAAUUGGUAAAAAUGGAAAUGAGGAGAGAAAGCUAGGAGAAACCAAAGCAGUUGGUGAUCUAUCAAUUGACAAAAACAGUUCCAAUGAGGAGAGAAAGCUAGGAGAAAACACAAAAAUAUUGAACACUCACUAUGACCCUCACAAGUAUGGCAAAAUAUGGAUGUAAUGCCACCCUCAAAGCUAUGCUUGCUAGUUGUAUUAACUGCUGUUAUAGUGUAAGAAUAUGUGUGUGGAUGAAUUUUGCUCGAGUGUAUGUAGAGCAAAUCUUAUGUCUAGACUACUAUGAAAUGGAUGCGUGUAUAACUUGGCCUCUUGGUGUAUGCACUAAAAUAUCUAAUAUCUAUAAAUGAAAUAAAUAAGUUCAUAUAGCUUGGCCAAGGGGCAUUUUCUUUUUCAA